rnacentral:rRNA from 1 species
GACGUAGGGGGCCAGCGUUGUUCGGAAUUACUGGGUGUAAAGGGUUCGUAGGCGGUGCGGCAAGUCGGGAGUGAAAUCCCCGGGCUCAACCCGGGAACUGCGUCCGAUACUGGCUGGCUUGAAUCCGGGAGAGGGAUGCGGAAUUCCAGGUGUAGCGGUGAAAUGCGUAGAUAUCUGGAGGAACACCGGUGGCGAAGGCGGCAUCCUGGACCGGCAUUGACGCUGAGGCGCGAAAGCCAGGGGAGCAAACGGG